rnacentral:tRNA from 1 species
GGCUCGGUAGCUUAGUUGGUACAGCACUUGUCUAGUCGUGAGUUCAAAUCUCACCUGAGCUG